UCCUACGGGGGGCAGCAGUGAGGAAUAUUGGUCAAUGGGCUUACGCCUGAACCAGCCAAGUCGCGUGAGGGAAGACUGCCCUAUGGGUUGUAAACCUCUUUUGUCAGGGAGCAACGCCAGCUACGUGUAGCCGGACUGAGAGUACCUGAAGAAAAAGCAUCGGCUAACUCCGUGCCAGCAGCCGCGGUAAUACGGAGGAUGCGAGCGUUAUCCGGAUUUAUUGGGUUUAAAGGGUGCGUAGGCGGAAUGCCAAGUCAGCGGUAAAAUCGCGGGGCUCAACCUCGCUCCGCCGUUGAAACUGGCGU
rnacentral:rRNA from 1 species